GUGAUAUUGUCGCUCAUAAACAUGGACGUGGCGACAAAUCCAACCAAACAGCCGGCACCCGUUAUUAUUAUCAAGUAGUACAAUCAAGAGUGCGUGAUUAUUAUUAUCAUGCGACGGAUGA
rnacentral:ribozyme from 1 species